CCUGCGGAGGAUCAUUAAUGAUUGAAUGGUUGCCUUCGGUGCUGGCUCUGCAAGUGCACGUUGGUGGCUUUCAUCCAAUACCCUGUGAACCUUUGGCCUCUUGCUAGCUUCGGCUGGCAGAGGAUUUUACACACUCGAAUGUAAUGAAAUAUUGUCGUGCGCAAGCACUAAUGUACAACUUUCAACAACGGAUCUCUUGGCUCUCGCAUCGAUGAAGAACGCAGCGAAAUGCGAUAAGUAAUGUGAAUUGCAGAAUUCAGUGAAUCAUCGAAUCUUUGAACGCACCUUGCACCCUUUGGUAUUCCGAAGGGUAUGCUCGUUUGAGUGUCAUUGUACUCUCACACUUCUGAUCUUGAUUCGGGAGCGGUGGACUUGGGUUUGCUGCUUACCUGCAGCUCACCUCAAAUGCGUCAGUGCAUCUCUUGGUUGGACAUAGUACGGCGUGAUAAGUAUCUUCGCCGGCACCUCGCAGAGGGUGGCCGAUUGGGAGCUUGUGCUUCAAACCGUCUUCGGACAAUUUCUGACAACUUGACCUCAAAUCGAGUAGGACUACCCGCUGAACUUAAGCAUAUC
rnacentral:rRNA from 1 species